UACGUAGGGUGCAAGCGUUUGUCCGGAAUUAUUGGGCGUAAAGAGCUCGUAGGCGGUCUGUCGCGUCGGCUGUGAAAACCCGGGGCUCAACCCCGGGCCUGCAGUCGAUACGGGCAGACUAGCAGUGCGGUAGGGGAGACUGGGAAUUCCUGGUGUAGCGGUGAAAUGCGCAGAUAUCAGGAGGAACACCGGUGGCGAAGGCGGGAUCUCUGGGCCGAUACUGACGCUGGAGGAGCGAAGCGUGGGGAGCAAAC
rnacentral:rRNA from 1 species